rnacentral:rRNA from 1 species
AAGUCCCGCAACGAGCGCAACCCUUGUCUUAUGUUGCCAGCAUUUGGUUGGGGACUCAUGAGAGACUGCCGGGGUCAACUCGGAGGAAGGUGGGGAUGACGUCAAAUCAUCAUGCCCCUUAUGUCCAGGGCUUCACACAUGCUACAAUGGUCGGUACAACGCGCAGCGACACUGUGAGGUGGAGCGAAUCGCUGAAAGCCGGCCUUAGUUCGGAUUGGGGUCUGCAACUCGACCCCAUGAAGUCGGAGUCGCUAGUAAUCGCAGAUCAGCAAUGCUGCGGUGAAUACGUUCCCGGGCCUU